UACAGACCUACCUCAAGAAGCAAGAAAAGUUUCAAAUGCACAAUCUAAUCUUAUACUUAAAGGAGCUCUAAAAGGAAUAAGAGCAAACCCCAA